UACGGGGGGAGCAAGCGUUGUUCGGAUUUACUGGGCGUAAAGGGUGCGUAGGUGGUUGGGUAAGUCUGAUGUGAAAUCUCUGAGCUCAACUCAGAAACUGCAUUGGAUACUAUCCGGCUAGAGAAUCGGAGGGGGGACUGGAAUACAUGGUGUAGCAGUGAAAUGCGUAGAUAUCAAGUGGAACACCAGUGGCGAAGGCGAGUCCCUGGACGAUUUCUGACACUGAGGCACGAAAGCUAGGGGAGCAAACAGG
rnacentral:rRNA from 1 species